AAAAAAAAAAAAGCAAAUUAAUCUCUAAGAUUUUUGUUUGUCAAAUUUUAACUGCUAAAUUUUGAAAGAAAAGAAAAGAUCAAAAAGAGAAAUAUUUUGUAUGUUACUAUAUAUAUAUAUCCCGCUAUAUUGCUGAAGUGUUGGCACUCAUGUAUAAAAGAUUUAAAAUUUAAAAUUUAAUAAUAAUAUUUUGAAAUUUUGAGUUUAAUUAUAAUGCUGUCAAUUAAAUAAUGUUGUGGGGGCAGCCACAUGAGAUAUCUGCAGCAGUGCUGUUUCAAAAAUUCAGACCAGACAUGAUUGAAAAGCUAGCUGUGAAAAUAAAUGAUUGAAAGGACAUAUAUGGAGCAGUAACACAAAAUGCCACCCUAUAUAUAUAUGUGUGGGUCUCCCCAGAUAGCUCUACUCCGUGAUAAAAAGGGAUUUUAAAAAUUAUUAGUAUUUUUUUUAUUUAUUUUACUUUCAAAAAAUGUAUAAUUUGCUUUUUUUAAAAAAAAUUAAAAAAUAUUUUCAAAAGAGCUAUUGCAUUAAUAAAGAUGGCAAAAUGAGCCAAUUAUUUUUAUUUAUUCUAUAAAAAAACAAAUUUUUAAUGUGUUUUUUUAAAAAAUAAUUUAUGUAUAAAUUUUAAGAAAUAGACGGAAUAAUGGUAAAAUUAAUCCUAACGAAAGGGAUUAAAUGCAUCAACUUAAAAUUUUAUAUUAAAAGUCACGAGAUAAAAAUAAAAAAAAUAAAUAUUUACAUAAAUUUCUUUUAUAUUUUAGCUUUUAAAAAUUACUAAGUCUACAACAUGAAAAAGAUUACAGAAUUACAAUUUCUAAUCUAAGAAUUGUAACACAAACAUUUAGGCUAAAAAUUUAUUUUUUCGCAUUUUAGUAAUACAAAAAGAAGAAGAUAGAGAAUUAUGGACAUAAUAAGAUUACAAUCAACUUUUGAUUGGUGGGCUAACAUUGCUAUAAAAUAAAAAUAAAAAAAAAGAUAAAUAAAUAAGGGGAAACUUCAAAUACCCCUUCUGUGGUUUUGUACUUUUUCACUUUAGUAUCUUAUGGUUUAAAAUGUAUCAAGUAAGUACUUUGUGAUUUCACACUUUCUCACUUUAGUACCCUGUAAUUUUAAGUGUAUCAAGUUAGUACCCUAUGGUUUCGCACUUUCUCACUUUAGUAUCCUAUGGUUUAAUAUUUCGUUAAAUUAUAUACCCCGAAAUGAAUAAUAAAAAUAAAAAAUUGAACAAGAUACUAACUUAAUAUACAAAUAAAAUCACAGAGUACUAACUUGAUACACCUGAAAUCAAAGGGUACUUAAAUGAGAAAGUGCCACAGGUAUUUGAAGUUU
rnacentral:lncRNA from 1 species